UGAGGAAUAUUGGUCAAUGGGCGGGAGCCUGAACCAGCCAAGUCGCGUGAGGGAUGACGGCCCUAUGGGUUGUAAACCUCUUUUGCCGGGGAGCAAAGUGCCGCACGUGUGCGGUUUGGAGAGUACCCGGAGAAAAAGCAUCGGCUAACUCCGUGCCAGCAGCCACGGUAAUACGGAGGAUGCGAGCGUUAUCCGGAUUUAUUGGGUUUAAAGGGUGCGUAGGCGGACGCUUAAGUCAGCGGUAAAAUUGCGGGGCUCAACCUCGUCGAGCCGUUGAAACUGGGUGCCUUGAGUGGGCGAGAAGUACGCGGAAUGCGUGGUGUAGCGGUGAAAUGCAUAGAUAUCACGCAGAACUCCGAUUGCGAAGGCAGCGUACCGGCGCCCAACUGACGCUGAAGCACGAAGGCGUGGGUAUCGAACAGG
rnacentral:rRNA from 1 species